UACGGAGGGUGCGAGCGUUGUCCGGAAUCACUGGGCGUAAAGGGCGCGUAGGCGGCAGGCCAAGCGUGUGGUGAAAGCCCGGGGCUCAACCCCGGGUCGGCCAUGCGGACUGGCGUGCUUGAGCACUGUAGGGGCGGGUGGAAUUCCGGGUGUAGCGGUGGAAUGCGUAGAGAUCCGGAGGAACACCGAAGGCGAAGGCAGUGUCCUGGCGAGUGACUGACGCUGAGGUGCGAAAGCCAGGGGAGCGAACGGG
rnacentral:rRNA from 1 species